AUUGUCAACCCUCAAAUAUCGCCGCAAUAUUAAUAUUUAGGUCUUUGGUCAAGAAUAUCGUGAUAUCUGAUUUUUUCCCUAUUGCUCAGCCCUACUC